GUACGCGCUUCGUUGUCCGCCAAAACACAAGAAGAGAAGAAGACGACGGAGUUCAGGUUAAAUGGAGACAGGAGCAGCUAAAUCAUCUUAAAGCCCCAAUGCAACAACUCUAAAUUUGACAGAGUGCCCUCUCAAGCAGCCACAACAGCAAGCUGUGUCACAAGCAAAGCUGGCAAUUCAGCCUCCACCGGAAAAGUUCUCCUGCUACAGCAUUUGAUUUGAAUGGCUAAUGUAAGAAUAUCAGCAGAGAGGAAGCUCAAAAGGACCAGGCUGAGCAAGUCCUGAGGAUCUGUGUCUUCCACACAAGUGAAGAAGAUGAAGUUGCAUCCGAAACUGAUGUGUCGAUUGUUAUUGAAGGGCAUGAGGUACUUGACAACUGUGGAAGUGUUGCAAAAGACUGUCUCCUGCUUGUAGGCAUCAUUUAUGCCAUGAACUUGAAAAACGAAGUACACUUUUGAAAAUUUUAAAAGCUAAACAAAGCUUAUAACUUGAAUGCACAUGUUUGACCCAUGAGUUGUCAUUUCAAAGAGGGCGCUAAAAGAAAAGUAUGGCACAGUUGUUUAUGUGGCUAUUUGUCUAUUUUCUUAUUUUUCUCUCGUUUUAAUGAUGUAGUUUUUAUUUUAACUUGUUGCACUGUAUUAAACAUGUGGCCAUGUAGAGUGGCUAAGUUGUGGGGACAAAAGAAAAGAAGUUAGAUCAGCAUUUUCAAGUCAAACCAGAGGUUCUCAACUGGUGGGUCGUGUGGCCAUUUUCAAUGGGUCACAGAUGUGAGUGUGGGCAUGUAAAGCGCAAAACAGCGAAAUAUCCCACUUUUUAUUGUUAAGAUGCUCUGCUUUUUGUAGGAUAUUACUCAUGAUACAUGUUUAGAACCUCAGGGCAAAACACUGUUCUUUAAGAUGCAAUGUUUAAAGAUGAAACCAAUAAUCAUGUCUUUUAAGAUGCACUGUAGGUUCCUGAAGCAUGUCAAUUUUUUUUUUUAGAGUUUAAGGUUAAAAAGCCUAUCCAAAAGAUAGGUUACAUACUGUAUGCUCUAUGCCAACAGUUCCUGAACUUUUCCUUGUGCCUUUUAACAAGCUACCUCAAACCUAUUUUAGCCACCCUAAGAUGAAAUUUCUGUCAUCUACUCACCCUGAUGCCAAUGGGACUGAAUUUUGGUCAACAUUCAUGCUCUUCUCUCUUGUGUUUCUCAUAAAACUGCAGUGAACAUCAACUUGGCUUCAAACAUCCAAAAAAUGUCAUGAAUUAAAAAAAAAAAGUCUUCAUACUGCUCAUCUGAAGUAACCCAAGUGUCCUGCAUCUUACACAUUCCUAGAUGUUUACAAAAAAAAACAUAACAAAAUUGUGUUUUGGCUGCAUUUGCUAUGCUUUGCUUCCUCUGUGGUGCUACGUGAACACGGAUGGGCUGGCUGGAAGUUAAUAGUGUGGAAGUUUGCAUGCAGAGUUGGAAGGGGCACGCAUGGGAAGAGCAGCAGAGCAAACAAAGUUGAAAACACAUUUGUAAUGUUUUUUACAAACGUCUUGGCAUGUGUGAACUACAGGACACUUGGAUUACCUCAGAUGAGCAGUAUGGAGACAUUUUAUUGAUUGAUGUAAUUUGGACGACUCACUGCAGUUGAACGGAAAACACGUCUCAAACGCGCAGAAGAACACUGAUGUUAACUUGUUUUUGACAAAGGCGUGAGUAAAUAACAAAAUUCAUCUUAGGUUGAACUAUACCUUGUUGUUUUGCCAUGCAAACUUGCUGGAAAAUGUUUCAUUGAAGAAAAUAUUUCUUUAAAUAAAUGGGUUAAGUUAAA